UACAGAAGCCCCAAGCGUUACCCGGAUUCACUGGGCGUAAAGGGUGCGUAGGCGGAUAUAUUAGUCGGGUGUUAAAUCCUGGGGCUCAACCUCAGGCUCGCAUUCGAAACGGUAUAUCUAGAAGACGUCAGAGGUGAACAGAACUCACGGUGUAGGGGUGAAAUCCGUUGAUAUCGUGGGGAAUACCAAAUGCGAAGGCAGUUCACUGGGGCGAUCUUGACGCUGAGGCACGAAAGCAUGGGUAGCGAACGGG
rnacentral:misc_RNA from 1 species